rnacentral:rRNA from 1 species
GACGAACGCUGGCGGCGUGCUUAACACAUGCAAGUCGAGCGGUAAGGCCCUUUCGGGGGUACACGAGCGGCGAACGGGUGAGUAACACGUGGGUGACCUGCCCUCAGCUCUGGGAUAAGCCUGGGAAACCGGGUCUAAUACCGGAUAUGACUCCAUGACGCAUGUUGUGGGGUGGAAAGCCUUGUGCGGCUGAGGAUGGGCCCGCGGCCUAUCAGCUUGUUGGGUGGGGNGAUGGCCUACCAAGGCGACGACGGGUAGCCGGCCUGAGAGGGCGACCGGCCACACUGGGACUGAGACACGGCCCAGACUCCUACGGGAGGCAGCAGUGGGGAAUCUUGCGCAAUGGGCGAAAGCCUGACGCAGCGACGCCGCGUGAGGAUGACG